AGUGGGGAAUUUUGGACAAUGGGCGAAAGCCUGAUCCAGCCAUGCCGCGUGCAGGAUGAAGGCCUUCGGGUUGUAAACUGCUUUUGUACGGAACGAAACGGCCUUUUCUAAUAAAGAGGGCUAAUGACGGUACCGUAAGAAUAAGCACCGGCUAACUACGUGCCAGCAGCCGCGGUAAUACGUAGGGUGCAAGCGUUAAUCGGAAUUACUGGGCGUAAAGCGUGCGCAGGCGGUGAUGUAAGACAGUUGUGAAAUCCCCGGGCUCAACCUGGGAACUGCAUCUGUGACUGCAUCGCUGGAGUACGGCAGAGGGGGAUGGAAUUCCGCGUGUAGCAGUGAAAUGCGUAGAUAUGCGGAGGAACACCGAUGGCGAAGGCAAUCCCCUGGGCCUGUACUGACGCUCAUGCACGAAAGCGUGGGGAGCAAA
rnacentral:rRNA from 1 species